UUUUAUCAGAGAGUUUGAUCCUGGCUCAGGAUGAACGCUGGCGGCGUGCUUAACACAUGCAAGUCGAGCGAAGCAGUUAAGUUGAUUUCUUCGGAUUGAUUCUUAACUGACUGAGCGGCGGACGGGUGAGUAACGCGUGGGUGACCUGCCCCAUACCGGGGG
rnacentral:rRNA from 1 species